ACAUUCUUAGCUCAGUGGUAGAGCACUGGUAUCGUAAAUUGGUACUAGGUGUAAUGCGAAUGACAAGUAAACUAGAGGCCGAGAGUUCAACUCUCUCAGAAGGCA
rnacentral:tRNA from 1 species